rnacentral:tRNA from 1 species
CAACUGCUGGCGUGGACCCGGGUGUUGGGCGCGGUGCUGCGGGCACCGUUCGGUGCAGCUGCGGCCCCGGGCCCGGCGCCCGGGCAGCUGA